CCUACGGGUGGCAGCAGUAGGGAAUAUUGCUCAAUGGGGGAAACCCUGAAGCAGCAACGCCGCGUGGAGGAUGAAGGUUUUCGGAUUGUAAACCCCUUUUGGUAGAGAAGAUAAUGACGGUAUCUAACGAACAAUCACUGGCCAAUUCCGUGCCAGCAGCCGCGGUAAUACGGAGGGUGCAAGCGUUACUCGGAAUCACGGGGCGGAAAGGGCGCGUAGGCGGGAUGGCAAGUCAGAUGUGAAAUCCUAUGGCUUAACCAUAGAACUGCAUUUGAAACUGUUAUUCUAGAGUAUGGGAGAGGUAGGUGGAAUUCUUGGUGUAGGGGUAAAAUCCGUAGAGAUCAAGAGGAAUCCUCAUUGCGAAGGCGACCUGCUAGAACAUAACUGACGCUGAUGCGCGAAAGCGUGGGGAGCAAACAGGAUUAGAUACCCCGGUAGUC
rnacentral:rRNA from 1 species